rnacentral:rRNA from 1 species
UACGAAGGGGGCUAGCGUUGCUCGGAAUCACUGGGCGUAAAGGGUGCGUAGGCGGGUCUUUAAGUCAGGGGGGAAAUCCUGGAGCUCAACUCCAGAACUGCCUUUGAUACUGAAGAUCUUGAGUUCGGGAGAGGUGAGUGGAACUGCGAGUGUAGAGGUGAAAUUCGUAGAUAUUCGGAAGAACACCAGUGGCGAAGGCGGCUCACUGGUCCGGUACUGACGCUGAGGUGCGAAAGCGUGGGGAGCGAACAGG